rnacentral:rRNA from 1 species
GAUGAACGCUGGCGGCGUGCCUAAUACAUGCAAGUCGAGCGAACAGACGAGGAGCUUGCUCCUCUGACGUUAGCGGCGGACGGGUGAGUAACACGUGGAUAACCUACCUAUAAGACUGGGAUAACUUCGGGAAACCGGAGCUAAUACCGGAUAAUAUAUUGAACAGCAUGGUUCAAUAGUGAAAGACGGUUUUGCUGUCACUUAUAGCUGGAUCCGCGCCGCAUUAGCUAGUUGGUAAGGUAACGGCUUACCAAGGCAGCGAUGCGUAGCCGACCUGAGAGGGUGAUCGGCCACACUGGAACUGAGACACGGUCCAGACUCCUACGGGAGGCAGCAGUAGGGAAUCUUCCGCAAUGGGCGAAAGCCUGACGGAGCAACGCCGCGUGAGUGAUGAAGGUCUUCGGAUCGUAAAACUCUGUUAUUAGGGAAGAACAAAUGUGUAAGUAACUAUGCACGUCUUGACGGUACCUAAUCAGAAAGCCACGGCUAACUACGUG